UCGAUUCCCUUAGUAGCGGCGAGCGAAACGGGAAGAGCCCAAACCAACAAGCUUGCUUGUUGGGGUUGUAGGACACUCUAUACGGAGUUACAAAGGACGACAUUAGACGAAUCAUCUGGAAAGAUGAAUCAAAGAAGGUAAUAAUCCUGUAGUCGAAAAUGUUGUCUCUCUUGAGUGGAUCCUGAGUACGACGGAGCACGUGAAAUUCCGUCGGAAUCUGGGAGGACCAUCUCCUAAGGCUAAAUACUCUCUAGUGACCGAUAGUGAACCAGUACCGUGAGGGAAAGGUGAAAAGCACCCCGGAAGGGGAGUGAAAUAGAACCUGAAACCGUGUGCUUACAAGUAGUCAGAGCCCGUUAAUGGGUGAUGGCGUGCCUUUUGUAGAAUGAACCGGCGAGUUACGAUUUGAUGCAAGGUUAAGCAGUAAAUGUGGAGCCGUAGCGAAAGCGAGUCUGAAUAGGGCGUUUAGUAUUUGGUCGUAGACCCGAAACCAGGUGAUCUACCCUUGGUCAGGUUGAAGUUCAGGUAACACUGAAUGGAGGACCGAACCGACUUACGUUGAAAAGUGAGCGGAUGAACUGAGGGUAGCGGAGAAAUUCCAAUCGAACCUGGAGAUAGCUGGUUCUCUCCGAAAUAGCUUUAGGGCUAGCCUCAAGUGAUGAUUAUUGGAGGUAGAGCACUGUUUGGACGAGGGGCCCCUCUCGGGUUACCGAAUUCAGACAAACUCCGAAUGCCAAUUAAUUUAACUUGGGAGUCAGAACAUGGGUGAUAAGGUCCGUGUUCGAAAGGGAAACAGCCCAGACCACCAGCUAAGGUCCCAAAAUAUAUGUUAAGUGGAAAAGGAUGUGGCGUUGCCCAGACAACUAGGAUGUUGGCUUAGAAGCAGCCAUCAUUUAAAGAGUGCGUAAUAGCUCACUAGUCGAGUGACACUGCGCCGAAAAUGUACCGGGGCUAAACAUAUUACCGAAGCUGUGGAUUGUCCUUUGGACAAUGGUAGGAGAGCGUUCUAAGGGCGUUGAAGCAUGAUCGUAAGGACAUGUGGAGCGCUUAGAAGUGAGAAUGCCGGUGUGAGUAGCGAAAGACGGGUGAGAAUCCCGUCCACCGAUUGACUAAGGUUUCCAGAGGAAGGCUCGUCCGCUCUGGGUUAGUCGGGUCCUAAGCUGAGGCCGACAGGCGUAGGCGAUGGAUAACAGGUUGAUAUUCCUGUACCACCUAUAAUCGUUUUAAUCGAUGGGGGGACGCAGUAGGAUAGGCGAAGCGUGCGAUUGGAUUGCACGUCUAAGCAGUAAGGCUGAGUAUUAGGCAAAUCCGGUACUCGUUAAGGCUGAGCUGUGAUGGGGAGAAGACAUUGUGUCUUCGAGUCGUUGAUUUCACACUGCCGAGAAAAGCCUCUAGAUAGAAAAUAGGUGCCCGUACCGCAAACCGACACAGGUAGUCAAGAUGAGAAUUCUAAGGUGAGCGAGCGAACUCUCGUUAAGGAACUCGGCAAAAUGACCCCGUAACUUCGGGAGAAGGGGUGCUCUUUAGGGUUAACGCCCAGAAGAGCCGCAGUGAAUAGGCCCAAGCGACUGUUUAUCAAAAACACAGGUCUCUGCUAAACCGUAAGGUGAUGUAUAGGGGCUGACGCCUGCCCGGUGCUGGAAGGUUAAGAGGAGUGGUUAGCUUCUGCGAAGCUACGAAUCGAAGCCCCAGUAAACGGCGGCCGUAACUAUAACGGUCCUAAGGUAGCGAAAUUCCUUGUCGGGUAAGUUCCGACCCGCACGAAAGGCGUAACGAUUUGGGCACUGUCUCAACGAGAGACUCGGUGAAAUCAUAGUACCUGUGAAGAUGCAGGUUACCCGCGACAGGACGGAAAGACCCCGUGGAGCUUUACUGUAGCCUGAUAUUGAAAUUCGGCACAGCUUGUACAGGAUAGGUAGGAGCCUUUGAAACGUGAGCGCUAGCUUACGUGGAGGCGCUGGUGGGAUACUACCCUAGCUGUGUUGGCUUUCUAACCCGCACCACUUAUCGUGGUGGGAGACAGUGUCAGGCGGGCAGUUUGACUGGGGCGGUCGCCUCCUAAAAGGUAACGGAGGCGCUCAAAGGUUCCCUCAGAAUGGUUGGAAAUCAUUCAUAGAGUGUAAAGGCAUAAGGGAGCUUGACUGCGAGACCUACAAGUCGAGCAGGGUCGAAAGACGGACUUAGUGAUCCGGUGGUUCCGCAUGGAAGGGCCAUCGCUCAACGGAUAAAAGCUACCCCGGGGAUAACAGGCUUAUCUCCCCCAAGAGUUCACAUCGACGGGGAGGUUUGGCACCUCGAUGUCGGCUC
rnacentral:rRNA from 1 species